rnacentral:rRNA from 1 species
UACGUAGGUGGCGAGCGUUAUCCGGAAUGAUUGGGCGUAAAGGGUGCGUAGGCGGCCUGCUAAGUCAGCGGUAAAAUUGCGGGGCUCAACCCCGUACAGCCGUUGAAACUGCCGGGCUCGAGUGGGCGAGAAGUAUGCGGAAUGCGUGGUGUAGCGGUGAAAUGCAUAGAUAUCACGCAGAACCCCGAUUGCGAAGGCAGCAUACCGGCGCCCGACUGACGCUGAGGCACGAAAGUGCGGGGAUCAAACAGG